rnacentral:snRNA from 1 species
GGUUGCAAAGGUGAUUUGGCUCUGUCAUUUGUCACCCCAUUGGUCACCAGCAUCGACUCUGCUGAUUAAGUUGGCCAGGUGGGGAUCCGCACGCAGCAUCCUGCCCUGCUACACGUGUACCCACCUGAAGCAGUGUGCUCCACUGAGGAGGACCACUUGCCCUGAUGACAGAGGACUGUCAUGAGGUCUUGGUG